AAACUUAAACUGAAAGCAUCCAUCAACAUCCCUACAACUUAACUAGAACAUAAUCGAGGAUCAUAACAUCAUCCCUACAACUUAACUAAAAUUGAAAGCGUCUGUCUUCAUCAUCAAACAGGAACAUCAUCAUCAAGAUUAUAGUGUACUUGUGAGCUGCCACACACACUCAUACAAUCAUUCAUUUAUCUUUUGAAUCUAUGAACAAAAAAAC
rnacentral:lncRNA from 1 species